rnacentral:rRNA from 1 species
UACGUAGGGGGCAAGCGUUGUCCGGAAUCAUUGGGCGUAAAGAGCGCGUAGGCGGCCCUGUAAGUCCGCUGUGAAAGUCAAGGGCUCAACCCUUGGAUGCCGGUGGAUACUGCAGGGCUAGAGUCCGGAAGAGGCGAGUGGAAUUCCUGGUGGUAGCGGUGAAAUGCGCAGAUAUCAGGAGGAACACCGAUGGCGAAGGCAGCUCGCUGGGACGGUGACUGACGCUGAGG